AGCGAACGCUGGCGGCGGGCUUAACACAUGCAAGUCGAGCGGGCACUUUCGGGUGUCAGCGGCGGACGGGUGAGUAACGCGUGGGAACGUGCCCUCUGGUUCGGAAUAACUCAGGGAAACUUGAGCUAAUACCGGAUACGCCCUUUUGGGGAAAGGCUUGCUGCCGGAGGAUCGGCCCGCGUCUGAUUAGCUAGUUGGUGAGGUAACGGCUCACCAAGGCGACGAUCAGUAGCUGGUCUGAGAGGAUGAUCAGCCACACUGGGACUGAGACACGGCCCAGACUCCUACGGGAGGCAGCAGUGGGGAAUAUUGGACAAUGGGCGCAAGCCUGAUCCAGCCAUGCCGCGUGAGUGAUGAAGGCCUUAGGGUUGUAAAGCUCUUUUAUCCGGGACGAUAAUGACGGUACCGGAGGAAUAAGCCCCGGCUAACUUCGUG
rnacentral:rRNA from 1 species